UGCCUGGCGACAAAGGGAUGGCUUCGUAGAUGGCGCUCAGGUCCCGCGGCCGCACGCCCUGCUCGCCCAGGAGGAACGUGUCAGCAGGUGGGGUUUCUGCCAGAGUCCGAAGCAAGCGGGCAGCAGGAGAAGCAGUGGGGCUUGGGGAGGUAAGAGCCUCCCGCACCAGGCCAUGACACACCUGGGAGACAGGUAAGGGAGAAGAGAAGAGAGCAGCAGUGGCUGAAAAGGCAGAGGAGUGGGAGGGGCCAGGUAGUGGGGACUUGGGGGGUGUGGAGGAGAGGGCUGAGAGGAGGUCAUUCUAGGGGAUCUUGGAGACAGACUGCUGGACAGGAAGACAGAGUAGGGGUAGGGAUAAGGGAGUUCCAGGAAGCGGAGACCUUGGGCCAGAUUCUUGUUGGAGGGGAGGGUGGUAGGCAGCAUGGGAGAGGACAGAGGACAAGAGGGGACAUGUCUGGGCACAAGGAAAGGCAAGCAAUGGAGGCAGCAAGAGCCCUUGGCAGCAAGUUUCCAUCACCUUUGCCUGCCAGUGUGUGAGAGGCGCAGAGGGGCAGUGAGCAGGUGACAUGCAGCUUCCAGAUACCCACACACUGCUUUUCUCCCGCCCAGCUCCCACCCCAGUUAAUUGAGAUGGGAUUGUUUCUCUUUCUGGUUUCUUCCUAAGCCCCUCUCUCAUAUUCCUGGUGUGCUUAUGGCCUGGCACACCUUGUGAAACAGAAACCCAAGCUCCUCAUUUCGGAGCUGGGAUUUCGAUUGGCUAUCUGCCUCCCUAACCAAGCUGUCCCUUCCACCUCAUCCCUAGAGUCACCCUCUGGUCUCAUCAACAUCCAGUGGGCAUUUCAGUGGCCCAGGAUCCUUCAAAUUGCAGAUAUAAAGCAUCAGGACCCCACACCUGGGAUGGAAGCUUCUAGGAAUUAAUGAAGCCCCAGUAGAGGUGAGGGUAAACCUAAAACGGGCUGGAUAGGGCCUCUCCCAAGGCCCUAUGGAAAGGUGAUGGGAAACUGGGGGCUGAGGCCUCAUCCUAGGAGACCCCUGGAGGGACCCACUUACCCUAGAUAGGCAGCGGAGGCCAGAAACUGGAAAACAGCCACUCAUUGUCGGUGCAUUACCGUGAGCACCACCUGUAGGGACUCUGUUGGCCUCCAGCCGUCGUCACACGUUCCUGACAACCACAAAAGUUCAUUUGAGGGUGCCCAGUCAGCUGACUUUGCUUCCACCAGGAAUACCCACCUGGCCCUGGUCCUUCUGCUGAGCUACAGGAGGCAUUCCCAGGGUCUUAGCAAAAACAACCCCUCAAAUAGGCCCAGUGCCUACAACUCUAGAGAGGUUUCAGAUGGUAUUGGAGACCCAGAGAAGUUAACUGACUUUCCCAAAAGUCACCCACUGUAAAUGGCAGACAGAUCUCAAACCCACAUCUGAGCCUGAGUCCAGUGUUUUUUCUCUAGUAUCAUCAUUGUCCCUUAAAUGUGUUUGACACAUCAUAGUUUACAAAUCACCUUCACUCAUAUUCUCUCACUACUCAUCAGUCAUGAAUUCAGCCAAUGAGAAGGGCUCAGAGAGGUUAACUAACCAGCCACGCUGUUUACAUGGGGCAUAGACUGCUUCAUGAACGCUUGACUGCAGCUUUGCCUUCCUCAUGCCCUCAAAAAGGAAGGAGCUGACCAAAGCUUACUAUACCAUAGCUGGGGUCUGGGACCCCCAGCCAGGUCUCACAGAUGAUCUGGGAAUGGCCUCCCUGUUGCUCUCAGGGGUCCGGCAGUCACACAGAAGAGUCAGGUUGAAAUCUUGGCAAGACUUUGGUGUGGCUUUGGGAACUGGGUUUAACCUCUUGGGGACUUCACCAAGACAGUGGCAAAGGACACCACCUACAGCUUCCAGUGCCUCUCUACUCUCCCACCUGUGCUCCUGGGGUUGAAUGAGACCAGAAGCAGCUGGGACAAGAUUUGGAAAGAUAAAGAGAGCCAGGAGACAAGACCUUGAGAGAAGCAGAGGUCUGGCUGGCUGCUGCCCUCUGGUGGUGACAAUGGUGACACUGUAAACCCCUCUGUCAAGGUGACACUCUCCCCUGACUAUUCAGGAGGGAGAAGCAAUCGCCCCAGGACAGAGACGGGGACAUCCCAGGAGCAGGGUACAGGCUCUAGCAAUAUCCAUCUUGCGGUACUCCCUCCCUCACAACAACCAGACCACACAUGUGUUAAAUCCUUCUGCAGGGAUGGAAUGCGGCUCUCAGUUUUUUCCAAGAACUUCUAAUCUAGGAAUUAGGAGAGGUGGUCAAAGCUGAAUGAAGCAGUGGGCAAAGAGAGGGUGAGGGAUGGGAGAGAAGACAGGUCAAGGAGGAGGUGGGAGAGAAGGGGAGGGUUGCAUGAGGGACAAGGAAAUGGCAUGGGUUGGAGCUGUCCCCAGUCCCUAUCUGGAGGGACUUCCAACCUUCCAGAUUCCCAGCUGAUAUCACAUGUCCAACCUCAGCCAGGCGAUUUAUAAGAGAAAGGUCAGGGAUGCCACUCCCCUUGUAAAAGCAAACAUGCAGCAUCUGGAGAAGCAAGGGGUAGAUACAAAGAUUCCAAGGGGUCACCAACAGCUACCCAGAGACCAGCUUUCAUCCUAUAGAGAAGGGUCUCAUUACUUUGCCCUUCCUUCCUUCCUGUCUCUCUCCUUCCUUCCUUCCUUCCUUCCUUCCUUCCUUCCUUCCUUCCUUCCUUCCUCCUUCCUUCCUUCCUUCCUUCCUUCCUUUUUUCUAUUCUAUUGAUCAUUAAUUAUGGUCAAAACUUCUCAUUUUUUCAGCCAGGCAGGGUGGCUUAAGCCUGUAAUCCCAACACUUUGGGAGGCGAGGCAGGCAGAUCACUUAAGUCUAGGAGUUUGAGACCAGACUGGGUGACAUGGCAAAACCCUGUCUCUUUAAAAACAAAAAUUAAGGCCGGGCGUGGUGGCUCAUGCCUGUAAUCCCAGCACUUUGGGAGGCCGAGGCAGGCGAAUCACGAGGUCAGAAGAUCGAGACCAUCCUGGCUAACAUGGUGAAACCCUGUCUCUACUAAAAAUACAAAAAAUUAGCUGGGUGUGGUGGCGGGCGCCUGUAGUCCCAGCUACUCGGGAGGCUGAGGCAGGAGAAUGGCGUGAACCCGGGAGGCGGAACUUGCAGUGAGCCGAGAUUGCGCCAUUGCAUUCCAGCCUGGGCGACAGCGAGACUCCGUCUCAAAAAAAAAAAAAAAAAAAAAAAUUAGCUGGGUAUGGUAGCUUGUGCCCAUAGUCCCAGCUACUUGGGAGGCUGAGGCACGAGGAUCACUUAAACCCAGGAGACAGAGGUUGCAGUGAGCUGUAAUGGUACCACUGCACUCCAGCCUGGGUGACAGAGGGAGUAACCCCAUCCCCAACACACACACACACACACACACACACACAAAACUCCUCAUUUCUCAUCAUAAAAUACAGUUACAUUUUUCUGCUAAUAAUAGUAUCUAGGGGAUUCAGUUAAACACUUAUUGUUUGGUGAGUUGCCCUUGUUUCUUUCAGUCUCCAAGGCAGAAAGUCAGGCAUCUUGGGUUUCUUCCCCAGAAAACUGAGAAGGCCAUGCUGUGACACCUCGUCCCCACCCCACAGGAGUCAGAGGAACCCCUUCCCCAGUUGGAAUUUGGCUCCUGUGAUGCUCCAAAAGGUCUCUCACCUCUGACACCUUUGUUCUGAGUCAUCAAAUCCUUUUGUGGUCACCAAACAGAGUCCCUCAGAGUAGGGGGCAGGAUCUGAGCUUCUCUCACAGGCCAGAGCAGGGAGAAGGGCUUCUGGGGGGUUGCAGGGAGUCCAUAUUCUAGUCCCACCUAAAAGCAGUGCCUGCCUCCUUAAUUCUGCACCGGGUCACAGAUCCCUGCCUGCUUCUCCCGCCUUUCACACAAAUGCUCUUAGAUUAAAUCUGUGGGAAGGGGGUGGGAGGGAAACAGGCCCCUCUCUGAUACAGGCCCUAAGUUUCAAAUUCCCCUCUUACUGGGCAGAUGGAGUUCCUAGAAAAGUUUUGGGAUAGUUUUCCAAAGGAAAUGUGCAGAAUGAGGAUGGGGAGGCGAGGACUCCAGAAAGACCACAGUAACAAGCCCUCUCUGUCCAAAAACAAGUCUCCUUGUAUCAAUCACUAGAAAUCAGAUCCAACAACUAAGCUAGAAUUCCCUCCCUUUCCCAGACAGUGCUCCCAAACAUGACCAUCUUCCUUGCUCACCACGCCCGAGCAGCAGAUAGGAAAAACAGAGGCCCAGAGAGGUCAGGCUAACAUCCUAGGGGUCACACAGCAUCGGAACCGCGAUUAGAACUCAGGAGUCUCUGGCGCCUCUUGGGAGAAUUGCAGCUGGAGCUCCCCCCUUGGCCCUGGAGACUCCAGUGGGCAGGGAGCUUGCGGUCCUGACCAGCUGGCGGUGGUGGCCCUGCGCCCUGGUGCCAGUGAGGCGUCUGGGUCUAGCAGUCACCUCUGGGCACUCCCUGGGUGGGAGGACAAGCUGGGAGGGGAUCCUAGGGGCAGGGGCAGGGGCAGGGAGGUGGCAGCUGCCGGUAGGGUUGGGGGAGAGAUAUUUUUAGAGGUGACUAGGAAGCCAGCACUCUGGCGCACCCCCGGCUGGCGGGCGCUGGGCUCCAAUGCGGGCGGGGGGUGCGCGGCUCGGGGAGGGGUAUUGUGGGUGGCAGGGAGCAAGGGGACACCAAUUCCUUGGCUUUGUCAGAGUCGGGGACGGAGGGAUACCCCAGCACUAUGUUCCUGGGUAGGAGAGAGAAGGGGACUCACUCCUGAGCUCCAGAACUCCCCCAGUGCCACGCGCGUGAAGGAGCGCCUUCAAACUCCACAGCCCCCACCCCGCGCCGGGACCCCAGCCCUCCCCUAUCUCCCGGAGCCCAGGACUCACGUGGGGGCGGCGGCAGCAGAGGUCUGUCCCGGCUGAGUUUGGAGUGUAAGAAGUGGGGAAG
rnacentral:lncRNA from 10 species